GUGGAGGUGACAAGGACAGGGAGGUGUCACUCUGGAGGUGACAAGGACAGGGGGGUGACCCCAGGGAGGUGACAGGGACGUGGAGGUGUCACUGGGGAGGUGACAAGGACACAGAGGUGUCUGUGAAGGUGACAAGGAGACAGAUGUCACUCUGGAGGUGACAAGGACGUGCAGGUGUCAUUCUGGAGGUGACAAGGACAUGGAGAUGUUGCUUUGGAGGUGACACGGAGGUGUCUGUGGAGGUGUCACUGUGGAGGUGACAAGGGCAUGCGGGUGUUGCUGUCAAGGUGACAGGGACACGGAGGUGUCACUCGGGAGGUGUUGGGGACACUGAGGUGGCUCUGGAGGUGACAGGGACAUGGAGGUGUCCCUAAGGAGGUGUUGGGGACAGAGGUUUUGGUCCGGAGGUGACAAAGACACAGAGAUGUCACUCUGGAAGUGACAAGGACAUGGGCAUUGCUCCGGACACGGUGGGGACUUUCCCCCCCUU